ACUGCUCAGUAACACGUGGUUAACCUGCCCUAAGGUGGAGCAUACUCCCGGGAAACUGGGGCUAAUACUCCAUAGUGGAUGCAUCCUGGAAUGGUGCAUCCUCGAAAGAUCCGUCGCCUUAGGAUGGGACUGCGUCCGAUUAGGUUGUUGGCGGGGUAACGGCCCACCAAGCCAUUGAUCGGUACGGGUUGUGGGAGCAAGAUCCCGGAGAUGGAUUCUGAGACAUGAAUCCAGGCCCUACGGGGCGCAGCAGGCGCGCAAACUUUACAAUGCGAGCAAUCGUGAUAAGGAAACCCUGAGUGCCUGUCGAUGCAGGCUGUUCAUAUAUCUAAAUCAUAUGUGAAGAAAGGGCAGGGCAAGACCGGUGCCAGCCGCCGCGGUAAUACCGGCUGCUCGAGUGAUGGCCACUAUUACUGGGUUUAAAGCGUCCGUAGUUGGACUGUUAGGUCCCUUGGGAAAUCUUCACGCUUAACGUGAAGGCGUCUAAGAGAUACCGGCAGUCUUGGGACUGGGAGAGGUAAACCGUACUUCGGGGGUAGGAGUGAAAUCUUGUAAUCCUCGAGGGACGACCUAUGGCGAAGGCAGUUUACCAGAACAGCUUCGACAGUGAGGGACGAAAGCUGGGGGAGCAAACGGGAUUAGAUACCCCGGUAGUCCCAGCCGUAAACAAUGUGCGUUAGGUGUGUCGGUAACCACGCGUUACUGAUGCGCUGAAGAGAAAUCGUGAAACGCACCACCUGGGAAGUACGGUCGCAAGGCUGAAACUUAAAGGAAUUGGCGGGGGAGCAC
rnacentral:rRNA from 1 species